AACAUUUUUCCCGUGAAGGGUCAAUACAGGAGACUGCGCUGGCUAUUGUUUAGAACUCAACACAGAAGAUUGUUAAACCAAACUUCUAUAGAGAAAAAAAUGAAGCAAUAGGAAACACACAAGACAUGCACACAGGUCAGCGUUAAUUAGUCUAGCAGCUCCCCAUCUCUGAAUGAGAAAAGUCCUGCUUUCCUUUCUCCCACAUCUCUCUCUGGUCCUUUAAUUGCGCUCUGAUUGAAUUUACUUGUUUGGCAGAAACCUAAACCAGAAAAGGCAGAUAGUUCACUACGAGGUUAGUCACCCGGAUCAACCAAGGGACCAGUCUAACGAGUGCUGAUGCAGAAAAGGUCCUAGAAAGUGUGUGUGGAGGCAGCCGCAGCAGAGAUGGCUCUGCAGAAUGCACCACCAUCGUACCCUCCGAGUUGCUUCUUGCUAGCACUUUAUCUCUGGAAAAAGAGAGGCAUCUUAAUCACCCAGUCCAGAAGAUGGCAAACUUGACAGCACUAUUUUUGCUUGGGAUUAGUAGAACUUUUUUCUUGCCUAAUCCACCUUCUUGAUGAUUGAACUUCUUUUGCUCAAUUAGAUUCUUGUAUCUAUGGACAAGCUGGGCUUUGUGCAGUGGCCCAUUACUCUCUCAAAUGGCUGUGGCCAAGAAGCUGAGCUUGUCCUUUCCUUCCUUCUCCAUGG
rnacentral:lncRNA from 1 species